rnacentral:rRNA from 1 species
AAGCGUGCGCAGGCGGUUUUGUAAGUUUGUCGUGAAAGCCCCGGGCUCAACCUGGGAAUUGCGAUGAAGACUGCAAGGCUUGAAUCUGGCAGAGGGGGGGUAGAAUUCCACGUGUAGCAGUGAAAUGCGUAGAGAUGUGGAGGAACACCGAUGGCGAAGGCAGCCCCCUGGGUCAAGAUUGACGCUCAUGCACGAAAGCGUGGGGAGCAAACAGGAUUAGAUACCCUUGU